GAUGAACGCUGGCGGCGUGCCUAAUACAUGCAAGUCGAGCGAACGGACGAGAAGCUUGCUUCUCUGAUGUUAGCGGCGGACGGGUGAGUAACACGUGGAUAACCUACCUAUAAGACUGGGAUAACUUCGGGAAACCGGAGCUAAUACCGGAUAAUAUUUUGAACCGCAUGGUUCAAAAGUGAAAGACGGUCUUGCUGUCACUUAUAGAUGGAUCCGCGCUGCAUUAGCUAGUUGGUAAGGUAACGGCUUACCAAGGCAACGAUGCAUAGCCGACCUGAGAGGGUGAACGGCCACACUGGAACUGAGAAACGGCCCAGACUCCGACGGGAGGCAGCAGUAGGGAAUCUUCCGCAAUGGGCGAAAGCCUGACGGAGCAACGCCGCGUGAGUGAUGAAGGUCUUAGGAUCGUAAAACUCUGUUAUUAGGGAAGAACAUAUGUGUAAGUAACUGUGCACAUCUUGACGGUACCUAAUCAGAAAGCCACGGCUAACUCCGUG
rnacentral:rRNA from 1 species